rnacentral:rRNA from 1 species
GGGCUGCAGUCAAGAAUAUUCCACAAUGGGCGAAAGCCUGAUGGAGCGACGCCGCGUGCAGGAUGAAGGCCUUAGGGUCGUAAACUGCUUUUAUUAGGGACGAACAAAUGACGGUACCUAAUGAAUAAGGGGUUGCUAACUCUGUGCCAGCAGCAGCGGUAAUACAGAGACCCCAAGCGUUAUCCGGAAUUAUUGGGUGUAAAGGGUCCGCAGGCGGUUUGGUUAGUCAUGUGUCAAAUCUUUGGGCUUAACCCAAAGGCUGCGCAUGAUACUGCCAGACUAGAGAACGGGAGAGGCACAUGGAAUUGCCGGUGUAGGGGUAAAAUCCGUUCAUAUCGGCAAGAACACCAAAGGCGAAGGCAAUGUGCUAGAACGUUUCUGACGCUCAGGGACGAAAGCGUGGGUAGCGAAAGGGAUUAGAUACCCUUGUAGUC